GACGAACGCUGGCGGCGUGCUUAACACAUGCAAGUCGAACGCUGAAGCUCAGCUUUUGUUGGGUGGAUGAGUGGCGAACGGGUGAGUAACACGUGAGUAACCUGCCUCCUUCUUUGGGAUAACGCCCGGAAACGGGUGCUAAUACUGGAUAUUCACUGGUCUUCGCAUGGGGGUUGGUGGAAAGGGUUUUUCUGGUGGGGGAUGGGCUCGCGGCCUAUCAGCUUGUUGGUGGGGUGAUGGCCUACCAAGGCUUUGACGGGUAGCCGGCCUGAGAGGGUGACCGGUCACAUUGGGACGGGGAUACGGCCCAGACUCCGACGGGAGGCAGCAGUGGGGAAUAUUGCACAAUGGGCGCAAGACUGAUGCAGCGACGCCGCGUGAGGGAUGGAGGCCUUCGGGUUGUGAACCUCUUUCGCUCAUGGCCAAGCCGCAACAAUGGUUGUGGUGAGGGUAGUGGGUAAAGAAGCGCCGGCUAACUACGUG
rnacentral:rRNA from 1 species